rnacentral:lncRNA from 1 species
CCCCUGUUGUCCCAUACAGCCCCAUACAGCCCCAUACAGCCCCAUACAGCCCCAUACAGCCCUAUAUUGCCCCAUACAGCCCCAUACUGCCCCCUAUUGCCCCAUACUGCCCUAUACAGCCCCAUACAUCCCCAUACUGUCCCAUACCGACCCCUAUUGCCCCAUACAGCCCCAUACAGCCCCAUACUGACCCACACAGCCCCAUACAUCCCCAUACAUCCCCAUACAUCCCCAUACUGUCCCAUACAGCCCCAUACAGCCCUAUAUUGCCCCAUACAGCCCCAUACAGCCCCAUACCGACCCCCAUUGACCCCUAUUGCCCCCUGUCCCAGACCCCGCUGCUGGUGGCGGCUCUGGCCGCAGCCCCCGCCCUUGUCCGGGAUCUGAUCGCGGCCGGCGCCGACCCCGACGCUGCGGACAAUGAGGGGCGGACGGCGCUGCACGUGGGCGCCACCUACGGGCUGCCCGAGGUACUGCAGGACUCCAAGAGCAGCCUGACCCCGCUGCACAUCGCAGUCAGGGGGGGGAACCUCGGCCUGGCCCAGCUCCUCCUGCGCCAGCCCCGGGGGGGGGCCCGGCUGGUCAACAUGCAGGCUCACGGUCAGUCCGCCCUGCACAUGGCUGCAGCGCUGCGGGGGGGGCAGCAGGUGGCGCUGCUGAAGCUGCUGCUGCGACACGGGGCGGAUCCGGCGCUGCCCAACAUGGAGAAUCAGCGGCCCCGAGCGCUGCUGCCAGCGGGGGAACAGGGAGAGCAGGUGGGAACAGCCAAAAACACCGGAUCUGAGCCCAAAAAUCCUUCAUAUGGACCCAAAAAUAACAGAUCUGAGCCCAAAAUAACACAAAUGAGCCCAAAAACACCAGAUCUGAGCCCAAAAUAA